UAGAUGCUGACUGUUUUGCGGAGCUAGAGCCUUGAGUUUUCCGACUGAAAACCCGCCAUCAUGUUGGCGAACUAUGUACAUAGAGCUCUUUUGAUGGAGGAAAUUGAUCGCCCUGGGCCCUGGAAGGAAGGCUUGGAUGGCAUCACACUCCAAGCCCUGUGGGUGCGUCUGGAUAGCCGGAAAGUGGCUCCGAUGGUGGUGGACGAGCCAAUGCGAGAAUUCCUUUGCCGUACAACCCAAACGUUGAAGAAUGUCCAGUUUUUCAAGGUGCUAGAGCCGCGGCUGGACAUGCACCUCCCCAAGCUGGCGUUGAAGGAGCCUGUCGAUGCCGAGGAGACCCUUAUUAUUUUGAUUCAGGAGUGACCCUGCUCCUGUGGAAGGAAGUGUGUGUGCGCUUACUGACACUGCAGGCGGUCCACUUGCAGUUUGUAGAAGGAAAGGCCGCCCACCCAGAUGCAGACGCCCUCCAAGGGCACAAGGUCAUCAACAGAAAUGAGCCAACGAUAAAUUACAUGAUGGCGACUGAUAUAGAGUUGACACCGAAAGCGAGAACGGCGUUGGAGACUUUUCUUCGGGAAAUGCACAUAAGCUUGCCAAUCAUGGAGGGCUGCCGCUUGGCACUGUUGCGAGUGGCUGCUGAGGCUGAAGAGCCUACUGAUCAGCAUUCCAGUCACGCUGUGCGCCAACUUCAACCUUCACGAGUUUCAACAGUCCAUCUGCUGCCGCUACCUUGAACGUCACGCAACUCAGUCCUCAGUCGUCCGUCCGUCCACGUGCUCGUGACCGAGGAGCGGAUCCCCUCAGCCCAACUUUUUGCCCUGCGGCGGUGGCUGACCAGUUUACCGGCGGCUAUUGCGGCUGGCAAUAUAGUAAACGUGAAACUUGACAGUGUCAGAGUUGCAUUAUUUGCUUUCCACCCAGUUUUUUCACCACUAUUUUUUACAAUUUUCCUACGCAACAAAUGAAUUUUUCCAUUUUCCCCCGUGUAAAUCUUCAAUUUGCGGUCAGAGUGAUCAAAAUUUCCUUUGCUGUGCAGAUAUAUUCUUUUAAAUUGCCAUUUAAUACCUCAUAAUCUUUACAAAAUUAUCUCUAACAAUUUUUCAAGGUGAGGUC